GGGCAAGAAAACUCACUUGAAAGAUAGUGGUUUAUUUCGAUGUUAUCCCCAGAUCUAGCUAUAUAGUAAUACAGAUUUAGAAUCAACAACUUUUUUGAAGUCAGGUCGCUGCAUUAUAUGACCUCACUUUAAAAAUGUUUCCAAGAAAUACAAGGCAUUUAAGGAAUCCGGGCCCUGAGAAUGGAUUUUCAUCUCACACUUCUAGCUUCAGAUGAAGGAUGUUAGGGAAGUCGCUUUACACAUAUCCUGGAUUCAGGAAAAAUCAUUUCCUUGUGGCUGCACAGCAUGUAACUUCAAGCUGCAACAGCCGAUCUCAGUGAGACCUUAACAUCUGAAGAUAUUGUCCUACUUUUUGUGCUCCAAUAAACAAGGCAUCAGCACCAAGAACUAAUCCAACCAGCCGGGCAGAAAAAGUCAAUCGGUAACCCCAACCCUCUUUAGCAGCAGCAUCUCUCUGUUGGUCAGUCCAUCCAAGGAACUCUGAAAGCCCACCAAUUCCUGCGAACUUGAAUGGUUGAGGUCCUUCUCUUUCAAGAUCCUCCUCUUCAGCAGCUUCUAGACCACCUUGAACCCAGAAAAUGUUGUUGUAACCAGCAUUGUGUAGCACCUCACAAGCCGCAAUGGACCUCAAUCCCUUCUGGCAUGCCACAAUAAGAUCUGUAUCUUUAGCAAAUUUCUCCUCAACAUUUGAUAAGAAUUCUUUGUUGUAAGAAAGAGCAGGGACACCACUCCACCAACCUCCCAUCAAAAAGUUUGUUGCUUUCAAGGAAAGAGUACGAAGUUCUAAACUAGCAUCAACAUCAAAAAUUGGAAUCCAGGUGGAGCCUUUUACCCAUGCCUUCUUUCGCUCCAUAGAGGGACGAACAUCAAGCAGCAUUUUGUUUGAGAGUUGAAUUGCAUAACCAGCUUCCCUUGGAGUAAGAACCUUAACUGUCCCAUCCCUGAUCAGAGCAUCCCAUCUCUUCUUAGCCGCAGCCAUAUCUUUCAUUUGCUUCAACUCAUAUUCUUCUUCCACUGCUUGCAUCCUUGUGUUAUUUUUAUACUUUAACGAUUUUAGAGUAGAUGGGAAUGGAGAGCUGAGAAAAUGGAUUGAACCGAUAAGUGGACACCUUCCUUCUUUUUGACAAGUCCUAACAGCACCAAGGGGUAGGAGCCCAUGACCAAGAGCUUCC
rnacentral:misc_RNA from 1 species